CUGACUGAACAGGAGGAAACUAUUCAUAAAGUUAGUCUUAACAUUUGAUUCUGUGGUCAGGUAUAGUUGACUAAUAUAUGUAAACUUGCUACAUGAGAACGUGGUUACAUAACCUUCAAAACAAGCCACAAUUUAACUGUGCACAUCAUAGGCGCACACCAGUACUUAAUAGCCAGUGUAAUAUUACUUUUCCCAGUAACUAGUAGUGUAAGAGAUUACUUUAUCCGAAACAGUAAUAUUAUUACUUACUAAUCCAAGUAACGCUGCAUUACUGUAUUACAGCGUUACUGAACACACCAUCUUUGACGUAAAUGCGUGACCGUGCUGCAGGUCAGCGGCACCGGACCUUAUGUUGAUUAAGUCAGCUGUUAGUCAAAAGCUAAAGGAAGAAUGGAGAACGAGGGAGAGAGGCGUUCUUUCCACAGCUAUAGCCACCCACCUAAAUGUAGACUUGCUGCCGUCCAGCCAGUAGUACUGCGAGGAGCAGUCUGAGCUGCUGUUCUCGUCGCCAUGGUUACGGCGGAGACCUAUCCAGAAGUCUCCAUCAGUUGGACGGAGGUCUGUGAUGAGCUGCUCUAUGACCUUCUGCUCGGACGCCGACUCCACGCUCAGAAGUUGCCCUCCGUCCCGUCUACAGGCGAGUUCUGCCUCUACGAAGUUCAGCCUCCGCCGGAGCUCGGAGAAAUAGGCCAGCUUGUAACACGGCUUCCCUUUCCCUGCCUUGCACACACGUUGACCUGCACCCAUGCAUACAUACAUAAUUACACAUGCCAGAUAUCACAACCCUGACAUAUCACAAGCAUCGGCUAAAUACUCUCCCAUAGUAGUCUCAACCCACAAAUACAGAAACAGAGUUAGCUGUAGAAGCCUUAAAAAGAAGGAGCGUGAUUGCUUACCUCUGGCUUCAAAUAUAUCCGCUUCAAGAGCCAAACAUCCAGCAUAGUGUCAGGAAGGCAGGCCAUGUGGAAACCAAAGACAGAUCCACAACUGAAUCAUGAGUUUAUGUCUUUGUGCUUUGUUGUGUUUUUGGGUGCAGCUUACCUGUAAUGAGGCUUGUGGCUGCAGACGGAUCGAAACAUAAAACCAGGAGGUGACAGAAGAUUGUUAGCAGGUCCAUCUUUGUCGGUUGUAGUCUGUUCACCACCCCCUCUUAUAUUUUUGUUUAGUCUUUAUCAUUCUACUGUCUGCUCGUCAGUAGAUCUAAGGUGAAACCAGAUCAACUCUACUUGAACCGUAAGAGGUGAGCUGAAGCGUCAGGUGGAAGAAAAUGCUCUGUCAAGGUUGAAAUUCAAAGAGAGAGCUAAAGAAGUGCUUUAGAGGCAAAUCUCCUGUCCUUUCUGCUGAUAGAGGGAGUGUGUGAGACAGAAGGAGGGGCAGGAAGAGGAGGAGAAAAGACUGUGCGUGUUUGGGAGGGGUCUGUAAUCUGUUAAGAGCAGUCUUAAUGAUUGGGAAGAGGCUGCAUCGAUCGCAAGACAUCUAAUCAUGCAAGUGCUUCUCAUCGUAAACGCUGACAAGAGGCAGAUUUCACUCCUUCCUUUAUUACUUAAGCUUUAGGUAUUAUCAUUACAAAAGUGUUACAUGAAAAUUUUCUCCUCUAACUCAAUCAGGGAUAUUUUAAAAUAUUUCUCUCAGGGCCAUCUUCAAGGUGUAUUGUGUGUUCUUCCUUUAUUGCGUUUCAGUACAAAGCAAGACAGAUAUCCAACACACCUGACAUCUCCAUGAGGCAGCACACAGUGUAUACUUUUUCUUUCCUGUAUUAUUAGAGCCUCUGAAAACCUGGUUCCAAAUCUGAAAUAGUACUCUGCAACAUACAAUAUUUAAGACAAUUAAAGUUCAGAAAUAAACAUUCUCAUCAGUCACAGCAGACACAACACAGCUAAUCUGAUUCAUCAGGACUGUCUGGGUUAGGGUUUGAUCACAUUUGACUGACAGUGGCCUGGCAAAACAAAGCAAACAACCUCACAACUGCCAUCACUUUUGGAUUCAAAUGUUGUAAAUCUUAAUUGGUGCAUGGAAAUACAUGACCUCAAAGUUUUCCAAUCGAACUCUGCCCACUUCAUUCCAGUGAAAAGAGCGAAGACAAGAACACAAAUAUCUGUCUUGUAAAUUAACCAAAAUCGUUGCAUUUCUGACAAAUACAUUUUGUGUUCAUGUACGACUCCAUCACUCUGAAUAAUAGGAUGAUGAUAAAAAAGGUUUUCAGGGCCUUUAAACAUCAAUAGGUCUGAAAUUAAUUUGUACAGUUGCAUAGAUUAAUGUGUCAAAUGAGUCAACAUGUUGAUGAUGAACCAUUUCAAACAGGGUGCAAAUUGAUAAAUAUUUCACAUGCAUUUUUGUACUGAGGAAACUGUAAGAUACUGUAAUGUUAGUAAUUAAAGUAGAUGUGUGAUGUGUCUGAUGUAUAUAUGUGCGCGUAAAAGUAGGACCUACUUGCUGCCCCAGCAUAAGUCAGUGAAAAAAAGUCUGAACAUGCCAAUGCUUUGGACAGAAUAUGGCUAGCUGUUUCUUGCUAAUCCCAAUCAUUGAACUAAAAUAAUCUGUGUUUAUGGAAGCACCUUCCAUAAAGAACACGAGAGUUAAUGUACCUUUCAUCUAGCCCAACUGCAAGAAAGCAAUGAAUUUCCCAAAAUGUAUAACUAUUCCUUUAACUUAAACAUUUAUAAUAACUCUAUUGUAAACCGUCCACAUUAUCAUUAAAGGAAGGCAAACAGCGGAGACUCCCGGAUGUUCGCUAGCAAGAAACAGCUAGCCUGGCUCUGUCCAAAGUUAACAAAAUCUACAUACCAGCACUUCUAAAUCUCACUAAUUUAGGUUUGAUCUAAAAGCAAAAAAAACAAAACAAAGGACAUUCAACAUGUUUAUUAGUGAGCAUCAUAAAUACUGGUAGGUGGAUUUUUUUUACUUUGGACAGAGCCAGGCAAUCUGUUUCCAUCUGUUUCCAGUCCUUGUGCUAAGCUAAGCUAACUGGCUGCUCAUAGUAGCUUCAUAUUCACCAUACAGAUAUGACAUGACUAACGCCACUAAGUCUUCUCAUCAACUCUCAGUAAAAAAAGCGGAUAAGCCUAUUUGCCAAAAUUUGUCGUUUUAUAUUGGUAAAUACCAAUACACAUAGAAAAUAGACUUUGUUGACAGGUUUAAUUUAAUUUUAGAAACUCAGCUCACACAUUACGAUGAAUAUUUGGUGUUACUGUUUAGUAACAAGGGAGAUUUCAAUCUAUAUAAUAUCAUAUUAAAGCGUCAGAUCAGCAGAAGCCAUGGAUGCAUGUGAGCAUGACCCGCUUUUCUGAGGACAAAUGGGGGGAAAGUGUAUGUAUGCAGUUCUUAAUGGUAGUAAUUUCUAAAAUGGCCCAUAAGGUUGAUUUAGGGCUCACAGAGAGACAGAUCAGCCAGAGUUUAAACAGCAGGAUGCUUCAUCAGGAAUAUGCUGUGUGUGCUAGCAUUGAAUAGGGAGUGAGGGUGGGGGGUGAGGCUUCCCUGAAUACACUGUCUGCAUACAUGCUGCUCUUUCGAAACACUGCUAAUCAGUUUAGCUGUAACAGAUUGAUUUCAGUCAAAGGGUUUCAGCUUUGUUUAAAUUGAAGGUGGGGUAGGGGAUGUUGGUGUUAGCAGGUGAUGCUCUGAAAAAUAAAAGAGAGAGAGGUAAUCGAGUCCUCUAGAGGGAUUCAAUAAGGAAUGGUCCUCGUUUUAAAUUUCCUCCUUGUUUAUGGCAUCUGAAACCCAGAGAGGGUUUCAUUCAAUUAAGCCUCUUCCAUUCGUCCCGCCUCUCACACAGUCUGUCUUCCUCCGACUCUGCCUCCACCUUUCAUCCCUCUCUCCCAAUUAGUUAAAGGGAAACCAGAUGAAUGUUCCCAUGGGAAACCAGUACAUCACUGACCCAACACACCACACAAGGUAGGCGUUUCACCAUGUUAGAGAAACCUAACAUUGAUGUUGAAAAUUCACUACAGUUCUUUGAUGUUUGGCCAUCUAACCAGUAUGCAUUAGUGAUGAGAAUUGUUAAAUGUAAAUUUACACUAAAGCGGUGCCUGACAGCAUAAUGGUCAACAGAUCAUAGUUAGACCGUAAAAAAAUAACAUGAAUUGAAGCCAUAAACUUGCUCUGACCACAACAAAUCAUUUGUAAUGCAAUGGUCUGGUUUGUUUGUGGGAUGUAAAGACACAACAAUGAAUAACAAACUCAGUUCAUUUCCAUGUCAAAGCCAGAAAGAGAAAGGAAAAAGGUAAUUACUUACCGAAAAGAAAAGAACUUAACUUUCUAUUAAAUUCAAUUUGAAUGAUCUGAGUUGGCACGCUACCAGACUCAGUGCCCGCAUUGCGCUGGCCUGCACAGAGAGCUGGAAAUGGGCCCUGAGUCACUGACCUGAGGGGGAGCUGGACGGCUCCAUCAGCAGCGCUGAUCCAUAAAAGAGUUUUGAUGAAACCUUUUAAGUGCUGUAGUAAUUCUUUUAGUCAUUCCUUUUUUAAGCGCUGUUGGAAGAGGCCUGAGAGAAGUAACUUGCAUAACCUGCAAUUGUGAAUGUUUUAACAGUGUGUCAUGUAAAGCAUUACAACACUUUAUUUUCUAAAUAAAGGGUCCUUAUUUCAUUCCUGCAGAGAUACAAUGAGCAAUUGCAACUUGCAGGAUAGCUAUGUCUGCAUUAUUGUAUUAAUAUAAUAAACAAACUUUAUAGAUGUUAGUCCUUACCUCACACAUUCAGAGUUGUAUGGAAAUAUCUUCACUUGUAUAUAAAUAAAGCCAGCAGUGGACACCACACUGCACUCACCACUCAGGACUGCAGAUUUUCUCAUUGACUUCUCCAUACUUGUAACAAUUCAUGUGAGAAUUGAGACGUAGCUGGUUGUCAUUUACAGGAGCUGAUGUCUUGUUUUUUUUUGUUUGGUUAAGUUGUGACCUGUGAGUGACUUGUUCAGUAUGAAACCCUAAAUCUGUUACAAAGCAGUAACAGUUGUUUGGUUUGCUAUGAUAGUCCAAGAUAGGGGCAAUAUGGAUAAAAUCAAUAUCACAGUAUGGACAAUUUCAUAUUACAUUAUUUAUAUACUGUAUAUCAUAAUAUAGCAUUAUUUUGUUUUUGGAAAAUCUAUGAAGGGACUGUUUAUCGAUAAAACAGAAUGAUAUGAAUGGCUGUUUUGAUUGAACCAGUGAAUUUAUUACCUGACAAAUACCACCAGUGGUGAAACGUAACUACGUACACUAAAGUGUUGUACUUAAGCAGAAAUUAGUGAUACUUGUAGUUUAGUUGAGUAUUUUAUGCAGCUUUGUUACUAGUUAUUUUUGAGAUUUCAAUUUUCCAUACCCUUCCUAUCCAGUGAAAACUAUGUAUCUCCAAAUAGCCUAUUGUGAUUUGGAAAUAGAAUUGUGUCUGAUAAACAGGAAACAACACAUUCUUCUUAAGCUACGUAAAAUAUUUUAAAAUGCUCCUUAGAUUAGCUGGAAAAUGCUUCAUCAUGAAGCUGAAAACAGGUCUGUUUAUAAAGUCUAAAGCUGAUGAUACACAGGCCAACUUUUUGAGCUAUGUUGCUGGGCAAUCUUGCUAGUGGCAAGUCCAACUAUGUUUUGAACGGAUAGCGGCGGGGGGCUCGGGUGGCGAAGUGGUGGGGGAAGGGGAUUACGGUAGUAAUCUUUACUCAUUACCAUUGACGCCAACGUUGCCCUGCACGAUUGCUCUAAAAGUUGCUCUGUGUAUCAUCAGUUUUAGUCUUUUUAGAGAUACGUGGUUCUCAGAAGACUGCAAUGCUAUAAACAUAUGAUGAUCGUAUAGAACAGGGGUUUUCAAAGUGUGAGGUGGACCUCCCCAUGGGGGCUCAAAACAGUUUCAGGGUAGGCUCAGUGAAUGGAAGUGAAACAAUAUUACAUUAGUUAUUACAUUAGUUAUCAAAAGGAGAUCACAUAGAAUAGCCUAAAUGUGUGAGAGUUCAGAGAUACAGUAGUUUUUAGAAACUGUUAAUUACUAAUGAAUGCCUUUUUUAAACUAUUUGGUAUAGUCAGAAGUUAUGUCAAACAGCAAUAUUACACUAUUUUGGCUCAAAUGUCAAGUGUCUAUGGGAUAAAAUAAUAUAAUCGUGAUCCCACAGGCAUCCUGGAAUUGAGCAAAACUUUCCAAGUAAAUUAAAGAUGUAGUGGGGGGUCCCGUUUCCCAAGCUUUGUCUGAGGGGAGGCCCGCAGUCUUAGACUAUAUCCCAUUUUAACAGCUGUAGAUUAAACUACCAAACAGUAGAUAAAGUAGUUAAAACUAGCUCAACCUUAAACAACUACAGCAGUAAAAUGCAACACAUUAAUGCAUCAGUAUUGAUAAAGCAACCACGGUGAAGUAUUUUCACAGUGUGGCAUUGAUACCUUUACUGUAGUAAAGAUCUGAAUGCUUCUUCCACCACUAAUUAUCACAAUGAUUAAAACAAUUAUUUAAAUUCUCAAUAUUACCAUUAAGCCGUUUUAAUUGUUUAGAAACAGUUGCCACAAUGGCGUAACAGUCAGCAAGCACAUAUACUACUGUCAUGUUGCUAACCCUGAUUCAGAGUGUAUACGAUUUGGAUUAGCUUCUCUUCAAAAACAUUAAGACACAGGUUACUGCUGAAUAAAUGAAGAAUAAAUGUAUGUGCAUUAGAUAAAGUA